ACAGGCAGAGGCAGCUCUAGCAAUGCAGCUGCAAGUUUUUAGGCACUGAGGAUGUUUUACCAGUUCUCUACUUAUUCCUCUACCUCUGCUCCUGUCACUGCACAAGGAGUCUUGAAAACUCAGAGCCUUUGCUCAGCUACCAUCUGCUGACAUUAUGGAGCUAUUAUGUGACUCUGUGGAGUCACAGAAAAGAAGCAUGGUGAAUCACAAGGGAAGGGACCAGCUUUAUC